rnacentral:tRNA from 1 species
GUGAGAUUGGUAUAGUGGUUAUUACUCCACGUUGUGGUCCUUGGCUAUGUAAAACCGUGGUAACCCGUGUUCGAUUCACGGAUCUCACA